UAGUCCACGCCGUAAACGAUGAGAACUAGAUGUUGGGAGGGUUGCCUCUCGGUGUCGCAGCUAACGCGUUAAGUUCUCCGCCUGGGGAGUACGCCGGCAACGGUAAAACUCAAAGGAAUUGACGGGGACCCGCACAAGCGGUGGAGCAUGUGGUUUAAUUCGAUGCAACGCGAAGAACCUUACCUGCCCUUGACAUACUCGGAACUUUCCAGAGAUGGAUUGGUGCCUUCGGGAAUCGAGAUACAGGUGCUGCAUGGCUGUCGUCAGCUCGUGUCGUGAGAUGUUGGGUAAAGUCCCGCAACGAGCGCAACCCUUAUUCUUAGUUGCCAGCAUGUAAUGAUGGGGACUCUAGGAAGACUGCCGGCGUAAGCCGUGAGGAAGGUGGGGACGACGUCAAAUCAUCAUGGCCUUUAUGCCUAGGGCUACACACGUGCUACAAUGGUGCAUACAGCGGGUAGCGAAAUCGCGAGGUGGAGCUAAUCUUGUAAAGUGCAUCCCAGUUCGG
rnacentral:rRNA from 1 species